UACGGGGGGUGCGAGCGUUGUCCGGAAUCACUGGGCGUAAAGGGCGCGUAGGCGGCCUGAUAAGUAGGGGGUGAAAUCCUGAGGCUUAACCUCAGGGCUGCCUUCUAAACUGUCGGGCUCGAGCACAGUAGAGGCAGGUGGAAUUCCCGGUGUAGCGGUGGAAUGCGUAGAGAUCGGGAAGAACAUCAGUGGCGAAGGCGGCCUGCUGGGCUGUUGCUGACGCUGAGGCGCGACAGCGUGGGGAGCAAACAGG
rnacentral:rRNA from 1 species